AAAAAUAAAAAUCACAUUUAUUUAAACAAAAAUAUACACACAAUGUACAAUGAAUAUGGUUUACACAGAACAAUAAAACAAAAUGAUAUUUCUUCAAAUGCCAAUAUAAGAUUAUCUAACCUAUUUGUGCCUCAUUUUCUAGGAAUACAAAUUAUUGGUUUAUGUAGAAUAUAAAUUUAACAUAAAAAAAGCCACAAAUCCCAAUGUUUCAGAUAAGUACCACAAGAAUCUGAAAAUUAGGUGUUAGAUUAAAUAAAAUAAAAUAUUCACAUGAGAAAUAUAUGUGUACAAAUGAUUGCACGUGUGCAGAGAAAUGGGAGUGUCUAUAUAGUCAUAGACAAAUGGAGUCUGCCUUUUAAAGGUUUGAAAGUUCUUUGACAUGAAAUAUUUUUUAAUAUUGGUAGUGAUAGCAUCAUAAGAACUAUAUAGAUAAUACAGCAAUCUUGCCAAUAUUUGAGUCAAUAUCGCCUCCUAGUCAAUGAAACAACACCAAGUCAUCAUUAAAGAUGUAUGGUUGGAUUGUGCCCUUUUAUGACCUUGGAGUAAGUAAUUUAGAUGAUUUUAGGAAGAUUGUGAAUGUGUAUGAAAGUGCAACAUAUUCUUAAAGAGCUAUAUUUUCUAAAAGAUAAGCAAGAUAUGGUUUCAGGCAACAUGACUUGUAUGCGGUCUUCUCUCCCUUGACAUUCACACUCUCUGGGUACUAUACUUCAUUGUGAGCCUUUUUUUCCUUUUUUAAUUUAAAAAUAUAAAUAGUCAUGUAAUCUAUAAAAAAUUCAAACUCAGGAGAGCUGAUUACAUGUUCAUUUUUUUUGUUGGUUAAUAUUACCUUACAAUUUUUUCCAACUCCUUGUUACUAAAAGUCAGAUAUGAUUUUUCUUUGACAUCAAAAACGCUUUAGACUUUCUCUGACUUGCUUAGAAAUAAAAUUCAAAGAGUGUUUCAUCUGCACUAUGACUCAGAAAGUAAAAAUCCAAACUCUUAUACCUCAACUCAAUACCUAAUUGGCCUGCAAUAUUUUAUCUAAAACAUUAAUUUCAUUUUCUGUUCUUAAAGGCAGUUAUUAUUUGUAGCAUCUGUUUGGAGAGGAAGUUCUAACUUAAAACAACCAAAGAAACAAAAGAUAUAAUAUAUUGGACUUGCUUUACAAAGCAACGGAAAAUAAAUAUGGGGGUAAAAAGCAUAGCUUUUGCAGAUUGCAGCUGGGCUAAAUGAACGUGAAUUCACACACUAAACUGUCAAUCAACUACACAACUCUCAGCAAAUCAUUCUCUUCAGUAGUGCAUAAUUUCUAAACCUUCCAGCUAUUAGGGAUGCUUUGCGUUCAAUAUGUUCAUUUCCCUCUGUAACUGUUGAUUAUAGUUUUUCACAGCUCAGUUUCUUAAAUCUGUGAUAAAAGUUAAUUUAUUUCCUAGAGGAUUACAAAAGACGCCCUUUAUAUUGAACUGAACAAUUGAUAGGCCAUCCUGUUUGGAAAUCAAACACCUAAAACAUCUGUGUUGAUUUAGCAUACUGCCAGAGUUUAAUUUGCUUAAUCUAACAGUUUGGGUUCCAAUUGAGCCAUAUUUACUAGAAUUGGCACACAGUAAUAUGUUACUGUUUUUAGUGCUUUUAGCAAAUACUAAAAUUAUAAACUUAAAAAAUUGAUACUGAAGCACAUUUUCAGUAAUACUCUAAUUAGGCUGACAUUUCCCUGAAUUUAGCCCGGAGUUGUUAUUGCUUACACUAAAGCUCCAUUGCUAAGAUUUCCCUUGCCAAACAUCAUAGAGAGAUACAUUUUUAAGUGCAUCUCUAUGAUUAAAUAAAUUAUGAAUAAAAUAUAAACAUCAAAUAUUACUUAUAGACUAAUAAGAGUCUUUAAAGAGGGUAAAAAGCAAAAGAAAAUUGCACCCAUCUGAAGAUAAGUGAUUGCAUUUAAUGUCAUUUUAAUAAUUUGAUCCUGCUUCCAAUUGUUUGUUAUUUUCUGGAGAAAAAAUGAUGGUGGCAUUCAGUUGUGUGCCAGUAAAUGUUUAUCCACUGGCUUUCCAGGAAUUAAAAACCCUGAUUUGUAGCAUUUGGCAGUUUCUGUGGUGUAAAUACUCCCACUGGGGUCAAUUUCAAGCUACCAACGUGAUGUUACCGAAGGUGGAGCCAGGAAGAUAUGCACAGUAAUGCAUCUCUAUAAUAUACUAUUUCAAUUGUACAGAUACAAUUAACACAAAUAACCUCAAGAACAUAGAAAAUUUGUAAAAGGUAGUAAAAUAGGAAGUAGUAAGUUUUAUCUUUGCUUUAAUAAAAUUUAUUCAAUUUUAUUUCAUAAUUUAAUAUUUAACCAUAGUUGUGUUUUACUACUGGCUUACAAAAUUGCUGAAAAUUUAAUGAUUAACUCUCAUGAGUAAACGUGAGCCCGUUCCAGCAUGUGACCCGUAUCGUCUUUUCCUGGCACAUAUCAAAAUUUACAUUGGGGGGGAUUUGGUUUGCUUAGGAAGAAAAGCAUUACUGUAUACAAAUCUUUUUCUUUUAUACCUUGAAUCUUAUUUUAUGCCAAAUACCAAUCUUACUUGAGGAAAAAAAAAAUGGGAAGCAUCCUCCAUCUAGAUGCUAGCUUUUAUGACUUGAGGGUUCUUUAGAAGAGUGUUAGUCUUAUAAAGCAAGGACUGAAGGUUAGGUAUAUGACAGGCUGCUCUAACUGGGUGCUUGGUUAUUUUACCACAAUUUGUCAGCUGGAUCAAAUGGUUGCUCUGACUCACUGGAUUAUUAGACUGACCAAACUAUUUACAUUGAAAGAUUGUUUUGGCAGAGUGUAGACAAACCCAAGGUGAUAUUUACAAGAAGAAAACAACCGCAUAAAUGAAUGGGUGUGUCUCAGGGUGGUUCUGCUUCAAUCAAAUAUUUUAAACUUUUAUGUUCAGCUGCUUUAUGGACCAUUUCCUGGUCCUGGAUCUUUUGUCACCGGGUCAAAGGUAAUCAUGAUUCCACCUUCCCUUGUUUUAAAAUAUAUUUUCUGUAAGACUCUGCAAUUGGCUAAUACAGAAUUGAUAACUACAUUUGAUAAUAUUAGAGGGGCAAUGUUUUUGAGGAAAAACACUUGUUUGGAAAUGUCAUUUUCUUGGUUCAGUUUCUGGCUCAACAUGAUCUCCUACAAUAGGCCGGCUGGUGUGUCUUUAAACAAAAAUACAGAUAGAAAAGCAUGACUGAGGCUGUGUUUGUACAAAGGAGAUUUUCAAAUUUUUUGUAUAACAUUGGUUCUUGGAUUUAGAAAGCCUUAACAACUUAAGAAAUAGUGAAGAUGCUUUCGAAGGAUACUUGGAACAUCUCUCAGGAAAGGAGCAAUAUUGUUGAUAUGAAACAGAAAUUUUCUUAAUGAAAUCCACUUUUAUUUUUUAUUUAUUUUUUGUGUGUGAGGAAGAUUGACCCUGAGCUCACAUCUGUUGCCAAUCUCCCUCUUUCUGCUUGAGGAAGAUUGUCACUGAGCUAAGAUCUAUGCCACUCUUCUUCUAUUUCAUGUGGGAUGCCGCCACAGUGUGGCUUGACGAGCAGUGCAACGUCUGUGCUCAGGAUCUGAACCUGCAAACCCUGGGCCUCUGAAGCAGAGCACAUCAAUUUAACCACCGUACCACUGGGCUGGGCCCUGAUGAAAUCCACUUUUAAAAGCAUGCACAAAUAGAGGCUUCCUAUAGGGAAAUACAGAUGACUAUGUCAAUAAUAAAUAAAAACUUGUAUGCAUUUGUAUUACAGUAAGUUCUAUUCUAUUGGACGUUUAUAUUAGCACUUACUAAAAAAGAAAAAAGGCUUUGAAAUGUCUUCCAAAAAUAGAAAACGUUAUCGUUAGCUUUUUAGUUAAUAAAUAUUUUUUCCAUAUUUAAGUCAAGAGCAUUCAUUUCUAAAAAUACAAAUAAAAAUUAUUGUUUAUAAGAGUAUUUGCAGGAUCAUAAAUCACUUAAGGUCUCUUGGAAGUCAGAUUACCAUUUGAUAUACUGAACGAGGCUUCAUAAUUAUUCAAGAAAACCUGUGUCAUCCCAGCCUCUUUACCUUAAAUCCAAUGGGAUAACGAAAAUAACCGCAAAUCCUACCAUUUUCAAAUGAAAUUGAACAAUUCAAAGAUUAUAUUUAAUCAUUGAAAUGGAGAAUGAGGUAUAAAGGAGAACACUAAGAUAACUUUGUCCAUAAGUAGAUCCACAAUACACAGCAUCUUUUUAUUAAAAAGGCUGUAAAUUGUUUGGCAAUUGCCUUGAGUAUAAUGCCCACAAGUCAUUUGCUGAAAUAAUAGAUUGAUAAUUUUAGUAUUAAAAGCCCCAAAGGGUUAUCUAAAAUUUGUAAUAAUUUGAAACACCCAACACAAGCCUAGAGAUCUGUUUGGAACCCUAAUUUCAAAAGGCAUCUUAGUCAAAG
ensembl:lncRNA